CUCUUGCAAUCUUGGACCCUAAGAAAAGAUGUGGAGUGGGCUGCUACCUCCUGGCCUAAAUGAAAGUGACGCUGAGUCAAACUCGGAAGAUGAAGCUACGUUGGAGAACUCUGGACUUAACUUACAGGAAGAUAAAGAGGAUGAGAGCAUCAGAAAAACAGAAAUCAUAGAUUUCUCAACAGAUGAACCAAAAACUGAAACAGAGUCAAAUGUAAAUGCCUAUGAAGAGUGUCCUUCUGGAAUUCCCAUAGAUAUGUGGAAUAAAUUUCAAGAAUUGCAUAAAAAACAUUCUGAACAGAAAAGCACAACCUCAAGAUUCAGAGGGAAAAGAAGAAAACGCUCCAGAAAAGGUGUUUUGUUUUAACUCAGGUUGUUCGUCGUGCUAAUGCUAAGUUGUGACUGAGUUUAACCAUUUUUUUAAAAUAUGGUUUUGAAAUUACUGAAGUUAGGUAUUGACACUUUGUGAAUUCUUUUCAGAUAAAUUGAAGAAUGAAAAAGAAUUACAUAGGUAGGUAGAAUUUAAAAUAGUUAUCUAUUUUAGGCCAUUGUAGAAAUUGUUGAACUAAUUGUUUCUGAUAGUAAUCAAACAUAUGAACUAGUAAUUGUAGUAUAAUUGUAGUAACCGAUUAAAAACAGUAAAAGUAAA
rnacentral:lncRNA from 1 species